GGGGGAAUAUUGGACAAUGGGCGCAAGCCUGAUCCAGCCAUGCCGCGUGAGUGAUGAAGGCCCUAGGGUUGUAAAGCUCUUUCACCGGUGAAGAUAAUGACGGUAACCGGAGAAGAAGCUCCGGCUAACUUCGUGCCAGCAGCCGCGGUAAUACGAAGGGGGCUAGCGUUGUUCGGAUUUACUGGGCGUAAAGCGCACGUAGUCGGACUAUUAAGUCAGGGGUGAAAUCCCGGGGCUCAACCCCGGAGCUGCCUUUGAUACUGGUAGUCUUGAGUUCGAGAGAGGUGAGUGGAAUUCCGAGUGUAGAGGUGAAAUUCGUAGAUAUUCGGAGGAACACCAGUGGCGAAGGCGGCUCACUGGCUCGAUACUGACGCUGAGGUGCGAAAGCGUGGGGAGCAAACAGG
rnacentral:rRNA from 1 species